rnacentral:rRNA from 1 species
GAUGAACGCUGGCGGCGUGCCUAAUACAUGCAAGUCGAGCGAACAGAUGAGGAGCUUGCUCCUCUGACGUUAGCGGCGGACGGGUGAGUAACACGUGGAUAACCUACCUAUAAUACUGGGAUAACUUCGGGAAACCGGAGCUAAUACCGGAUAAUAUAUUGAACCGCAUGGUUCAAUAGUGAAAGGCGGUUUUGCUGUCACUUAUAGAUGGAUCCGUGCCGCAUUAGCUAGUUGGUAAGGUAACGGCUUACCAAGGCAACGAUGCGUAGCCGACCUGAGAGGGUGAUCAGCCACACUGGAACUGAGACACGGUCCAGACUCCUACGGGAGGCAGCAGUAGGGAAUCUUCCGCAAUGGGCGAAAGCCUGACGGAGCAACGCCGCGUGAGUGAUGAAGGUCUUCGGAUCGUAAAACUCUGUUAUUAGGGAAGAACAAAUGUGUAAGUAACUAUGCACGUCUUGACGGUACCUAAUCAGAAAGCCACGGCUAACUACGUG